UGGGGAAUAUUGGACAAUGGGCGCAAGCCUGAUCCAGCCAUGCCGCGUGUGUGAAGAAGGCCUUAGGGUUGUAAAGCACUUUCAGUGGGGAGGAAGGGUGUUGUGUUAAUAGCACAGCAUUUUGACGUUACCCACAGAAGAAGCACCGGCUAACUCCGUGCCAGCAGCCGCGGUAAUACGGAGGGUGCAAGCGUUAAUCGGAAUUACUGGGCGUAAAGCGCACGCAGGCGGCUUUUUAAGUCGGAUGUGAAAGCCCCGGGCUCAACCUGGGAAUUGCAUCUGAUACUGGGAAGCUAGAGUGUGUGAGAGGGGGGUAGAAUUCCAAGUGUAGCGGUGAAAUGCGUAGAGAUUUGGAGGAAUACCAGUGGCGAAGGCGGCCCCCUGGCACAAUACUGACGCUCAGGUGCGAAAGCGUGGGGAGCAAAACAGGAUUAGAUACCCUGGUAGUCCACGCCGUAAAACGAUGUCUACUAGAUGUUCGUGGUCUUGUACCGUGAGUAUCGCAGCUAAACGCAUUAAGUAGACCGCCUGGGGGAGUACGGUCGCAAGAUUAAAAACUCAAAGGAAUUGACGGGGUCAUAGCUGUUUCCU
rnacentral:rRNA from 1 species